AAAAAUUAACAAAUAUUUCAGAUAAUUAUAAAAUAAAUAUGGUAGAGGAGUCGGCUAGUGUUCUUACACCUCCGGGGAAAAAGAUGAAACAAGCCAGACUUCCCUUCGCUCCAGUUAACAAACAGUCAAGUGAAGGUGAAGAAGUGCAAAGGAAGAGAAAACUCUCAGAUGCUGCAGCCGCUACUCCGGAACCAAAGGAACAAAAAAAAA